CCUCUUAUAUUUUCCUCAUACACCCACGUGAACGAUGAGACAAACCUUCCAUUCUCUAAAACCCUACCGCCGCCGUCACCCAUCCUUUCACCACUUUCCGACCACCACAACUCUUAACUGCAAGCGAGCAACGUUUUUGUACUCCUCAUCACCUCUUCUCCUUUCCUUUUCUGCUCUGUGACUCCAUUUUCUUUUCAAUCAGUGUUGAAAUGGAGCUGUUUGAAACGAAACCACCGUGCCGGUUUCCCUCAGGCCACCGUGAGCUUCAUCUCCUCCAAGGAUUCGAAUAGUGCAUGAUGAAAUCUCCCCAGGUGUUGGAUUUGGUAAUGAAUCACUUAACUAGACCAAUUCCUACAGAGAUUGGAAAUCGCUCGAGCAUCGUUCACGUUUGGAGUUGACUUUGUGGAAUAAAUGUGAAAUGUGCCUUGAACUGAAUGAAGGAGUAUCGAAGUACUCAACUGAAAAACAGAAUAUCCAUCGUGUGUGUAAUAAAACUCGUAGUUUGACUAUGCAGUAAGAACAUGGUACAUUAAUUAAAAAAUGAAAACUCUUUAUGCUGCACUAAGUCUCACAUUAUAUAUCUACCACAUCAUGCCAAAAACCUUGAAACCAUGAAUAUAACUAAAAAAAGAGUUGGCUUAUGUUUCAUUUUUCCCAACUUGGUUUUUGCAUUUGCUUGUGGGAGUGUUAGCAAGGAGUGGAACUGUAGUUUUAUUCACGACAGUUAAUUCAGAUAAUAAUUGUGUGCAUUAUUAGUAUUGUUAUUACAAAGCUACGGAAUAUGGUUCUCACAUACUAAGAGGUUAAUUUUGGUAAUAGGAUUUGACAUCAGAAUCUGGAACUUGUGAUCCCCUAUGUUCAGUUGAUGAAACUAGUUCGCUAGAUUUCGAAGACAACUAUCAGCCCAAGACUGAUUUGCUCAAAGCAGUUGUGAUAUUUGCGGCGGCUGCAAUUGGGACGGUGAUGUUUCUGUUUCAAUUAUAUAGUCAUUUCGUCCAAGCAAAUAUUCCUCAAUUAUUGCCUUUUAUAUGUUUCUGCUUCUCUCGCCUUGGGCUUACCCAGCAGUGUUUCUAAUAUUAGAAACUUUAAGCCUCCUUCCAGUGGCCACAAGGAAGUGGAGUUAUAUCCUACUUUAUCAUGGCUAUUUUGUUGUGAAUAAUUGAAAAGGGACAGAUUUUAUCUGUUGAUCAUUAAAUAAUUUAUUUCCUUAAUCCUGUACCAAAUAUUAUCUAUCACAUGUUUACAUGUUUUAUUUUUUGUUAUUGCAGACAGUUACUUUUUUAACGUAUCUGUUGAAAAGCUAUGCUGAUUAUAUAAGGCCACAUGAAGAAAGUAUAUGUAAAAGCAUUGUGAAUUUGCUUGUAACAUGUACUGACUCUGUCCUUAUCACAAGUAUGUCUUCUCUUCAUCUCAUUUUAGAUUUAUCUGCCGCUUUUAGUGAUUUCUUGCAGAAGUACUAGGUGUUGGAUUUUAUUUCAAUAUUCACUGCUUUUUAGUAAUUUAUAUUUUUAGAGAGAAUAAGAAUCCAAUUUUUUGAGCCUACAUGGAUUUCGAAGUUGAGGAAUUCUAUGUUUCUGUCCAUUUUUAAUGCUUGUGAGAUGGAUAUGAUGCUUGUUACCCAUAUUGGCAUUAUUUUGAGCAUGCAUAUUCAAUUUGUUUUAUGCUGCAAAGUU